GCGCCUUGAGCACCUCGUCUGCACACAGAAGGCACAUGCGGGUAUGCAGGUGAGCUCACCGCGACUCAUGUAUCGAAAUCGAAGGCAAGCCGCAACGAGAGGAGAGAGAGAGAGAGAGAGAGAGAGAGAGAGAGAGAGAGAGAGAGAGAGAGAGAGAGAGAGAUCCGUACCGGUCUUGAGGUUGGCGGCGGGCGCGGGCUGCUGCGGGGCCUCGACGGCGGCGGGGGCGUGCUCCGGCAG
rnacentral:lncRNA from 1 species